CAUAUAACUGAACUGUGGGAG
rnacentral:miRNA from 1 species